rnacentral:rRNA from 1 species
UACGUAGGGUGCAAGCGUUGUCCGGAAUUAUUGGGCGUAAAGAGCUCGUAGGCGGUUUGUCGCGUCGAAUGUGAAAACCCGGGGCUCAACCCCGGGCCUGCAUUCGAUACGGGCAGACUCGAGUUCGGUAGGGGAGUCUGGAAUUCCUGGUGUAGCGGUGAAAUGCGCAGAUAUCAGGAGGAACACCGGUGGCGAAGGCGGGACUCUGGGCCGAUACUGACGCUGAGGAGCGAAAGCGUGGGGAGCAAACAGG